rnacentral:rRNA from 1 species
UACGUAGGGUGCGAGCGUUGUCCGGAAUUAUUGGGCGUAAAGAGCUCGUAGGCGGUCUGUCGCGUCUGCCGUGAAAACCCGAGGCUUAACCUCGGGCUGGCGGUGGAUACGGGCAGACUAGAGGUAGGUAGGGGAGAAUGGAAUUCCCGGUGUAGCGGUGAAAUGCGCAGAUAUCGGGAGGAACACCGGUGGCGAAGGCGGUUCUCUGGGUCUUACCUGACGCUGAGGAGCGAAAGCGUGGGGAGCAAACAGG